rfam:Schistosoma rodhaini strain Burundi genome assembly, scaffold: SROB_scaffold0004433
AUGCAGCUGAUAAGUCCCAGAUAGGACGAAACGUGCAUCCUGGAU